rnacentral:rRNA from 1 species
UACGUAGGGUGCGAGCGUUAAUCGGAUUUACUGGGCGUAAAGCGUGCGCAGGCGGCCCGUUAAGACAGGUGUGAAAUCCCUGGGCUCAACCUAGGAAUUGCGCUUGUGACUGGCGGGCUCGAGUACGGUAGAGGGGAGUGGAAUUCCUGGUGUAGCAGUGAAAUGCGUAGAGAUCAGGAGGAACACCGAUGGCGAAGGCAGCCCCCUGGGCCUGUACUGACGCUCAUGCACGAAAGCGUGGGGAGCAAACAGG